ensembl:lncRNA
AGGGAUGAUGUGUGGAUUAACCACGGUGAUGUCCAGACAGUUCUAAGCACAGAAGUGACUGGCCUCCGGCAGAGCUCGACACGGUGUAAUUACAGCAAACACGCAUUGGCGGCGAGCAGCAAUCAUGAGACAACUGUUGAGGAUUUCAGAUGCGCUUGGCGGUGGCUCCUGGAGCGCAGCGCGAGGAACCGCAGCUCCAGUUGGCCCGUGCUGGCCCGAAAACAAGGGAUUUGCAGAAGUCGGGAGCGGUGUGUUGGCACGGUGUCCACGCCAUGUCGUUCAUCAGCUAUUUCCUUGAUAGCGGGUUGCGUCUUACCACCAAGCCAACCGACUGACUCAUGAGUCAGUGACUUAAAAAAUAAAUAAAUACUUGAGGCCAGCUGUGCCCGCCGAGCAAAACCUGUCAGGCUGCAGACAAAGUGGGCCCCUGCCACUUUCCCGGGUGGUUUCAUUUUUCCUCUUUUUGUCUUCUUGUUUGAAAACUAUGAAAGUGAAACCGCACACCUCCCCCUGAAAGCUGCUGUGUUCCCACGGCUGGAGGAGGUGGGUGGGGGCGAGUCUCCCGCUAGCAUCAGCAUUGCCCUUCCGCAGGCCCCAGGGUCCGGCCACGCGGCUGGAACCCAGGCCCUACUGUGCCUGGCUCUGAGCGAAGGCCUGCACAGGGAAGUGGCCAAAACCCGCUGUUAGGUGGCUACAGUACAUGGCCAAGAACCCACACAGGUGUAGCUAGAUUCGUCCUCCCAACAGGUGAUGAGGAAAAUAGUGAUGUGUGUGGGAAGUGUGUUAGUCACUCAGUCACGUCCGACUCUUUAUGACCCAAUGGACCAUAGCCCUCCAGGCACCUCUUUCCAUGGGGUUUUCCUGGCAAAAGUACUGGAG